AGCGAACGCUGGCGGCAGGCCUAACACAUGCAAGUCGAACGAAGUCUUCGGACUUAGUGGCGGACGGGUGAGUAACACGUGGGAACGUGCCUUUAGGUUCGGAAUAACUCAGGGAAACUUGUGCUAAUACCGAAUGUGCCCUUCGGGGGAAAGAUUUAUCGCCUUUAGAGCGGCCCGCGUCUGAUUAGCUAGUUGGUGGGGUAAUGGCCCACCAAGGCUACGGUCAGUAGCUGGUCUGAGAGGAUGACCAGCCACAUUGGGACUGAGACACGGCCCAAACUCCUACGGGAGGCAGCAGUGGGGAAUCUUGCGCAAUGGGCGAAAGCCUGACGCAGCCAUGCCGCGUGGAUGAUGAAGGUCUUAGGAUUGUAAAAUCCUUUCACCGGUGAAGAUAAUGACUGUAGCCGGAGAAGAAGCCCCGGCUAACUUCGUGCCAGCCGCCGCGGUAAGAC
rnacentral:rRNA from 1 species